rnacentral:misc_RNA from 1 species
GUACCUUCAAGCUCUGCUUGGUGUUGGGUGGUUGUCUCGCCUCUGCGUGUAGACUCGCCUUAAAACAAUUGGCAGCCGGCGUAUUGAUUUCGGAGCGCAGUACAUCUCGCGCUUUGCACUCAUAACGACGACGUCCAAAAGUACAUUUUUUACACUC